UUCUCAAAAACAUCAUUUCAAAGGAUGUUAUGGCUUUUUCCUUCUGAAACUCAGGUUGAAAUUUGAUUGCCCUUGUAAGGGUUUUGGAAGGUGGGGCUCUUAAGAGGUGAUUAGAGGAAUUAAGGCCUUUCUCAAAGGAUUAGUUACCCCAAUAGUGGGUUGUUGUAAAGUGAGACUGACCCUUGUGUUUUGCUUCUUUUGCAUGUGCCCAGUACCCCUUUCAAUUUCAGGUAUGUUAUGAAGCACCCCAAGGACUUUACCAGAAGUGGCUACUCAAUCUUGAAUUCCCCUGCCUCCAGAACUUGAUUAGUUUUCCUGGGAAGCAAGCAUUGCUUUGUGGUGUUUCCCUCAAUCCCACCCUACACAUAAAAGCAACUGAUGCAGAAGAAUUUCUCCUCUUUUGACCUUGGCAGUCCUCACCAUUCAUGGGCUUUCUCAGAUGGCUUCUUCAUCAAAGGAUAGGAGACCAGGUCAUGAAUCACGCAUGUUGCUGCUCUUUCCCGUGAUGCGGAGAUCCUAGUGGACUUGGAAACAACUGGGUCUUAUCUUAACGACUGCUCCCUGGGAGGCUCCUCUGGGACAUGCAGUUUUUCUCCUGUGGCUUGUUGUUUGGGAUCAGGAAUUCAAGAAGAGCUAGCUGGGCAGUUCAUCUCUAAUCUGUGGGCUAGCAGAUAGGGCUUGAUCAUGCGUGUCCACCACGAUUUCUUCACUCUCAAGUCUGUCACCUUGGUUUCCUUCUCUCUCCACAGAGUGUCUCAGUCUUCAGGGCCUCUCCAUGUGAUGAGGGCUUCUCACAGCAUGGUGACCUUAGAGAAGUUGGAUUCCUUAAAUGGAGGCUUCGGGCUCUAGAAGCAAGUGUUCCAAGAGCCAGCGCUUUUAAAUGAAAAGUUCUUCCACUUUGUUUUGUUGUCAUUUCUCAGACUCUCAAUUUUGGAAAUACAGGAACUAGUUUUAAAAGCCCAUUUUGUAGAAUUUU